rnacentral:tRNA from 1 species
GGAGAUGUAGCUCCAUGGUAGAGUACUUGCCUUCUAUGUGUGAGGCACUGGGUUCGAUUCCUAGCACCA